rnacentral:rRNA from 1 species
GAAUUGUCUGGUUAAUUCCGUUAACGAACGGUACCACAGCCUACUAAAUGGAGCGCAUUAUGGUAACAUAGUGUGAUACUUCUUAGAGGGACAUUUCGGGUAUACCGGAAGGAAGUUUGUGGCAAUAACAGGUCUGUGAUGCCCUUAGAUGUUCUGGGCCGCACGCGCGCUACACUGACGAAUUCAACGAGCUUUUACUAUAUUUGUAGUAAAUUCCUUUAUCGGAAGAUAUGGGUAAUCUUUAAAUGUUUGUCGUGAUGGGGCUAGAUUCUUGCAAUUAUUAAUCUCCAACGAGGAACC